CUCAGUUCAUCUUCUCACAAUGAGGCUCCCUGCUCAGCUCCUGGGACUGCUAAUGCUCUGGCUCCCUGGGACCAGUGGGGAUAUUGUGAUGACCCAGACUCCACUCUCCCUGCCCGUCACCCCUGGAGAGCCGGCCUCCGUCUCCUGCAGGUCUAGUCAGAGCCUCCUGCAUAGUGAUGGAAACACCUAUUUGGAUUGGUACCUGCAGAAGCCAGGGCAGCCUCCACAGCUCCUGAUCUAUAUGCUUUCCUAUCGGGACUCUGGAGUCUCAGACAGGUUCAGUGGCAGUGGGUCAGGCACUGAUUUCACACUGAAAAUCAGCAGGGUGGAGGCUGAGGAUGUUGGGGUUUAUUACUGCAUGCAAGCUCUACAAGCUCCUCCCACAGUGCUACAUCCUCGAACAGAAACCUCCCUGCUGGACACAGAUUCUCCCCAGAUGGCUGAGGGCUGUCAUUGGCUGUGUCCUUCCUUGUGCAUGACAACAGGAGACAGCAGAUGCCAGUGGCAACAUUGUGUGGACCCCGUCUCCAGCCCCUAUCCCUCUGGCCCAGAUGAGAAGGUCACUGUCACCAGCAGGCGUGACCAGGGUAUGAACAGCAUCCUAGCCCAGCUCCAGCAGAACCGAGGCCUGGCUCUGAGCUCCUGCUGCCCCCUGGAGACCAUGCCUGCCCUGAUCAAGGGCCAUGGGCUUGGACAGAUGUCACUUUGGCUAUCAGCAUCCAAACUGCCUUGA